rnacentral:rRNA from 1 species
GGGUGAGUCGGCUCCUAAGGUCAGGCCGAAAGGCGUAGCCGAUGGGAAUCAGGUUAAUAUUCCUGAACCUGCGUCAGAUGCGAUGGGGGGACGGAGCAUGGAAGAUCAUCCGGGUGUUGGAAGUCCCGGUUGUUGAGCGUAGGAGGUCUGCAGGCAAAUCCGCAGACGCAUCUCCAAGGCAAAGACACGUGCCGCUACGGCGGCGAAGUGAUCGGAAGUGCUUCCAAGAAAAGCCUCUAAGCACCAGUCUGAUGCGGACCGUACCGCAAACCGACACUGGUGGGCGAGCUGAAUAUGCUCAGGCGCUUGAGAGAACUCGGGAGAAGGAACUCGGCAAAUUGACACCGUAACUUCGGAAGAAGGUGUGCCGUAGUACCGUGAGAGGAGAGACACCUUGAGCGGGAAACGGUCUCAGAGAAUAGGUGGUUGCGACUGUUUAUUAAAAACACAGCACUCUGCAAAGUCGAAAGACGACGUAUAGGGUGUGAUGCCUGCCCGGUGCUGGAAGAUUAAUUGAUGGGGUGAGAGCCCUUGAUCGAAGUCCCAGUAAACGGCGGCCGUAACUAUAACGGUCCUAAGGUAGCGAAAUUCCUUGUCGGGUAAGUUCCGACCUGCACGAAUGGCAUAACGAUGGCCACACUGUCUCCUCCCGAGACUCAGUGAAGUUGAAAUGUUUGUGAUGAUGCAAUCUACCCGCGGCUAGACGGGAAGACCCCAUGAACCUUUACUGCAGCUUUGCAUUGAACUGUGAACCGAUUUGUGUAGGAUAGGUGGGAGGCAGAGAAGAGGCCACGCCAGUGGCCUUGGAGCCGACCUUGAAAUACCACCCUGAUUUGUUUGCGGUUCUAACCACGGACAGUGAUCCUGUCUUGGGACCGUGCAUGGUAGGCAGUUUGACUGGGGCGGUCUCCUCCUAAAGGGUAACGGAGGAGUACGAAGGUACGCUAGGUACGGUCGGAAAUCGUGCUGAUAGUGCAAUGGCAAAAGCGUGCUUGACUGCGAGAGCAACAACUCGAGCAGAUGCGAAAGCAGGUCAUAGUGAUCCGGUGGCUCUGAAUGGAAGGGCCAUCGCUCAACGGAUAAAAGGUACUCUGGGGAUAACAGGCUGAUACCGCCCAAGAGUUCAUAUCGACGGCGGUGUUUGGCACCUCGAUGUCGGCUCAUCUCAUCCUGGGGCUGUAGUCGGUCCCAAGGGUAUGGCUGUUCGCCAUUUAAAGAGGUACGUGAGCUGGGUUUAAAACGUCGUGAGACAGUUUGGUCCCUAUCUGCCGUGGGCGUUGGAAGAUUGACGGGGGCUGCUCCUAGUACGAGAGGACCGGAGUGGACGCACCUCUGGUGUACCGGUUGUCACGCCAGUGGCAUUGCCGGGUAGCUAAGUGCGGAAGAGAUAACCGCUGAAAGCAUCUAAGCGGGAAACUUGCCUGAAGAUGAGUCUUCCCGGAGGUUGAACCUCCCUCAAGAGUCGUCCGAGACCAGGACGUCGAUAGGUCAGGUGUGUAAGCGCUGUAAGGCGUUGAGCUAACUGAUACUAAUUGCUCGUGAGGCUUGAUC